rnacentral:tRNA from 1 species
UCCUCGGUAGCUCAAUGGCAGAGCGGGUGGCUGUUAACCACUAGGUUGCAAGUUCAAAUCUUGCCCGGGGAGCCA